AGAUUGGCGGUUCAGUGGUUGAAUUCUCACUCGUCACGCAUGAGGUCUGGGAUCGAUUCCCAGCCAAUCCA
rnacentral:tRNA from 1 species